AAGCUCAUAGCUCAGAGGUAAAGAGUAUACGCCUGAUAAGCGUGGGGUCAGUAGUUCAAGUCUACUUGGGCUUA
rnacentral:tRNA from 1 species